rnacentral:rRNA from 1 species
UUAGAGUUUGAUCCUGGCUCAGAUUGAACGCUGGCGGCAGGCCUAACACAUGCAAGUCGAGCGGAUGAGUGGAGCUUGCUCCAUGAUUCAGCGGCGGACGGGUGAGUAAUGCCUAGGAAUCUGCCUGGUAGUGGGGGACAACGUUUCGAAAGGAACGCUAAUACCGCAUACGUCCUACGGGAGAAAGUGGGGGAUCUUCGGACCUCACGCUAUCAGAUGAGCCUAGGUCGGAUUAGCUAGUUGGUGAGGUAAAGGCUCACCAAGGCGACGAUCCGUAACUGGUCUGAGAGGAUGAUCAGUCACACUGGAACUGAGACACGGUCCAGACUCCUACGGGAGGCAGCAGUGGGGAAUAUUGGACAAUGGGCGAAAGCCUGAUCCAGCCAUGCCGCGUGUGUGAAGAAGGUCUUCGGAUUGUAAAGCACUUUAAGUUGGGAGGAAGGGCAGUAAGUUAAUACCUUGCUGUUUUGACGUUACC